UACAGAGGGGGCGAGCGUUGUUCGGAAUUACUGGGCGUAAAGCGUGCGCAGGCGGUUCGUUGUGUCGGUGGUGAAAUCCCCGGGCUUAACCUGGGAAUGGCCAUGGAGACUGGCGAACUGGAGUGUGGCAGAGGGGGGUGGAAUUCCGCGUGUAGCAGUGAAAUGCGUAGAGAUGCGGAGGAACACCGAUGGCGAAGGCAGCCCCCUGGGCUAACACUGACGCUCAGGCACGAAAGCGUGGGGAGCAAACAGG
rnacentral:rRNA from 1 species